UUACGAUCACAUCGCUCUGAAAACACUGGUUCCCAUACGCUCACCAAAGUUAAGCAACGUCAAGACUGGUCAGUACCUAGAUUGGUGACCGCUUGUGAAUACCGGGUGUUAC